GCCGGCGAAUCACAAGCUAAAGGUCAUACCCACACAUCAUCAGGUUCAAGCGGCUUACACACCUACACAUCUGGUAAACUGACUAAUGGAACCUUGGAUGAAUCCGAAACAAAUGCGCCAGGAGCUGGUGCCGUGUUUGGUGCCGUGUUUGGUGCCAUCGUGAUAGUCUCACUGGGUAUAAUCGGGGGGUAUACUGGUCUACAGAAGACGGCAUUGUAACCACCGAGAUGUUCGUGUGUCACAGGGACCUGAAGCAGUUUUCCUGUCACAGCCAGAAGAGAUAAGCCCACAGACUGACGCCGAACACGAAUCAGACUAGUUUACAGUUCAGGACACAUCGGGUUCAUCCAAUAUCUGAUGAAACAUUUUUUACACAGCCAUGAAGGUUGUGUUGAUGACAAGUCAUGAGGUCCUAUCCUCCCUGUACGAACUACAAAGGACAGGGACAAACUGGGCUAUGCUGGUCAGCACAUGACGAACGUCAACUCCCUCCUCGAUAAGCUCACUCCACGCCAGGGUGUCAUCAGUUGCCGGGAACAUCUAGAGCAGGAUCGUGACCUGAAUGAGACUCUAAUAACGCUGACACGUGGUGAAACUCACUCAUUCUGAUGUUCAUUUGACGCUGUGUAACUAUUGUGGCUAUGUUAUUGUAUCAAACAUUAUGAGGGAAGACAACAUGACACUUUAUUGAUAUUAGGAUUCAGUCAUAUCUAUAAGGUUGUAUGUAAAGUGAGGUAAGGUGAAACUGAUUCAAGGUUGCGUUCAAGACGAUUUCUCUUCCACAGCAACGCGCAUAAUGUGUAUAAUGUUCUCUAUACUUGACCGGACUGAUACAGUCUAGGUUUAGACCACUGGGAUAACAAUGCUAGUGUGAAAGGGAUACAUCUCUCACUCAAAGAAUUUCUGGUAAUUAAGAAUAAUAUGAAUACAUGAGAACACCAAUGGUCAUAUUGUAAAAACUCUGAUUCCUUAAGACAUGGUAAGGUAGUCGUGGAGUCGUACAAUAGACUUUGCUUUCAGCAGAUAUGUCAUUUAUUGCUCAUCUGUAUAUGUUCCUAAAAUGUAGACUUGGGUGCAGUGACAAGAAGAAAACAUGCAGCAGUUUGCCUGUAUUGUAUUUACAUCAUAAGCAUCUUCCUUCAGUUGUACACUCUUCAAGUUGUAAAAUUUGUUUUUGCACAAAUUGUAUUGGCGUGAAAAAAGUUGAAAAGGAAUGAGAACACAUGUCUAUAUUACGACGUCCCUUCUUCUUUGUAUAACCCGUGAAGAUCCGGGUUAGAAUUGAUCUUCAGUAACCCAUGCCACUAACGGGAUAGGAUGGUCAGGCUGGCUGACUUGGUUGACACAUGUCGUACCCCAAUUGCUGUAUCAGCUGCCAUAUAUUUGUGACUAACUCAUUUGCAUUUUAUUACAACAUCAGUAGCAGGACGACGUCACGAACUGAACCCUUGUAGAAUGCACACACACGUAUUCUGUAAAUUCGUUGGUAACCUUCCACCUGAAUAAACCGACAUGCAUAAUAUCAAA